CGUGACUCACACGCGCAGCACAAAUAUCCUCUCUAAACCCUAACGCAAAACGGCGUCGGUUGCUGAAGUCUCGUUUCAUCUCGUCAUCGGCGGUUGCUCUUCGCAGCUCUUCUUUUGCUACAAUGGUGUCGUCCGGCAAGAAGACGAAAAAGACUCAUGAGAGCAUAAAUUAACAACCGGUUGGCGCUUGUGAUGAAGAGUGGAAAGUACACUCUUGGUUACAAGACUGUUCUCAAAACGAUCAGGAGCUCCAAAGGUUUGAAUUUUCUGUUUCAGAUUUUCUUAUAUUGCUUACUAUUACUAGUUUCAUAGAUUUUACAAUUUGAAUGUGUAUGUGAAAAUCGAAAUGUUGGUAAAUUGAUUUUGAUAUCCAACAAUUGCCCGCCUCUGAGGAAGUCGGAGAUUGAGUAUUACGCCAUGCUUGCUAAAGUUGGUGUCCACCAUUACAAUGGGAAACACAAGAGUGCAUAGUUUUGCUAGCGAAGAACUAAUCACUUGACACGGUCGCUAAAGUGUGGACUUGAUAGAGGGGAUACGCUUGGAUCCCUGCGAGCAACCGAUUGCUUCUAAUCCCGACAUCAACCGGAGUGCGAAAAGGUAUGAGAUUCUUUUCUCGCUCUCUCAUCAUGUUAACGUGAAGUCGUCAAUACCGUUGGAAUGAAAUAAUAGUUAUUUCAUUUAUAAUUUUGAAAAAAAUUAUUUCCGCUGCGUUUUUCGACCCAAUCCCAACAGUGGUAUUAUCUUAUUUGUUAAUGUAUAAUUUGGUAACUAUGGAUCAUUGAGUUUCAUGUUCGACUUAAUUAUGAAUAUCUAUGUCGAUAUUACUCAUUGGUUGACGUUGUAGCUUUAUUGAAGUAUCUUGCCCGCGCUGAGGAGUCUUGAUUCUUUUUCUUCUUUGUUUUAUCUGCUUAAAUUUGUCAACUUUUUGUAUGUUGGAAUCUGUUUGUUGUCUUAGUUCAGCAUGAAGUUGCAGUGCAAGCUCAUGAAGUGUCUCGUUAUAGUUCAAGAAAAUGGCAUUAGGGAAAGUGGAUGACGCGUUCAACUCCCUUAUCAAAUGGCUGAGCUGUUUAUUAUCUAUCCCAUUCACAACAUUACUUACCUUGUCACCCUAGAUGUGACUAGGAAUAGUUGUAAUGAUUUCACUGGAUUCAGUUUCUAUGAAGGUUGUUUCUCUGAUUAA